GUGCCAGCCGCCGCGGUAAUACGAAGGGGGCUAGCGUUGUUCGGAAUGACUGGGCGUAAAGGGCGCGUAGGCGGCGAUGUAAGUCAGGCGUGAAAGCCCCGGGCUCAACCUGGGAACGGCGCUUGAUACUGCGUUGCUUGAGGACGGGAGAGGAUGGUGGAAUUCCCAGUGUAGAGGUGAAAUUCGUAGAUAUUGGGAAGAACACCGGUGGCGAAGGCGGCCAUCUGGACCGUUUCUGACGCUGAGGCGCGAAAGCGUGGGGAGCAAACAGGAUUAGAAACCCUCGUAGUCC
rnacentral:rRNA from 1 species